rnacentral:rRNA from 1 species
AUGCAAAAGCGGGCCGCCACCACCCGCCACAUUGGGGCCCUCGCCGCCACGCGGGCGAACUUUGAUCAGAACAUGCAAGUCGAGGAGCAGCGAAGGAAAUCUGGUUCCAUGAAACACCAUGGACGGGUAUGCUUCAUGUUCAGUUUUCAGUUCGGUCAUUCAGUGUACUCAUACUCAUGUGAUUUUCCUUUUCGUAAACCAUUGCAAGCUUCAUAUUCAGUUUUCUGCUUGCUGCUUGACUGCUUCAAGUGUGUACAGAUUGCAUAUAUCAAGUUUCUUCAACUGUUCACGGACUACGGGAUGUAG